rnacentral:rRNA from 1 species
AAUCCUGGCUCAGGAUGAACGCUAGCUACAGGCUUAACACAUGCAAGUCGAGGGGCAGCAUGGUCUUAGCUUGCUAAGGCCGAUGGCGACCGGCGCACGGGUGAGUAACGCGUAUCCAACCUGCCUUACACUCUUGGACAGCCUUCUGAAAGGGAGAUUAAUACAAGAUGUUAUCAUGAGUAAGCAUUUUCGCAUGAUUAAAGGUUUACCGGUGUAAGAUGGGGAUGCGUUCCAUUAGA